rnacentral:rRNA from 1 species
CUACGGGGUGCUGCAGUGAGGAAUAUUGCACAAUGGGGGGAACCCUGAUGCAGCAACGCCGCGUGGAGGAUGACGCAUUUCGGUGUGUAAACUCCUUUUAUAUGUCAAGAAAAUGACGGUAGCAUAUGAAUAAGCACCGGCUAACUCCGUGCCAGCAGCCGCGGUAAUACGGAGGGUGCAAGCGUUACUCGGAACCACUGGGCGUAAAGGACGCGUAGGCGGGUUGGAAAGUCAGGUGUGAAAUCCUACAGCUUAACUGUAGAACUGCACUUGAAACUUCUAAUCUAGAGUAUGGGAGGGGGAGAUGGAAUUAGUGGUGUAGGGGUAAAAUCCGUAGAUAUCACUAGGAAUACCUAAAGCGAAGGCGAUCUCCUGGAACAUUACUGACGCUAAGGCGUGAAAGCGUGGGGAGCAAACAGGAUUAGAUACCCGAGUAGUC